CAGUCGCCGCGGAAUACGGAGGGUGCAAGCGUUAAUCGGAAUUACUGGGCGUAAAGCGCACGCAGGCGGUCUGACAAGUCAGAUGUGAAAUCCCCGGGCUCAACCUGGGAACUGCAUUUGUGACUGUAUAGCUAGAGUACGGCAGAGGGGGAUGGAAUUCCGCGUGUAGCAGUGAAAUGCGUAGAUAUGCGGAGGAACACCGAUGGCGAAGGCAAUCCCCUGGGCCUGUACUGACGCUCAUGCACGAAAGCGUGGGGAGCAAACAGGAUUAGAUACCCCAGUAGUCCCUGUCUCUUAUACC
rnacentral:rRNA from 1 species